CUGGCUAGAUAGUCUGUGGCUUUAGAAAAAGAGUAUCGGGAACAGACAGGCCGUCGAUCCCACAGUUUGUUCGAAGUUCAUUCAGGAGUCACCAAUCUCUUUACACCCAUCGGCACACCGGGAUUUUUCAGUUCUGAAGGUAUAUCUGUCCAAGUGGCGCUGAGCUACUGAUCCCCCGUGUUUACAUAGGAAGAGCAUAUGAACAGCAAGAAAUUUCCCCAGUACUACACCAUUGCCCUAGCGCGAGGUACCAUCAUUUCCCAACAUGUCUUCACAGUUUUGCGAUUGGGGUAUUUGAACAAUUUCAGUUACCCAUGGCACUACUGUUUGGAGAAGACACCUAUGUAUUUGGGGACAACAAAAAAGUCUCAGCAACUCUUGAGGAGGACACACCAUAACAUCUGAGGUGCUUCCAUACGGCAGUUUACUGUAGACUGGAUAUUGGUCAUAGGAUACUGGUGGACAAAGAUAUCAGUUCUGAUUCUCUGAGUUUCUCAUUUUUCCGAUCUUAAAUGCAGUUCUCCACAUUUUCACAACAAUUUGCAUUAAAAACAACAACACAAAAAACAUUCAUGAAGUUUCACCAGGAUUUUUGCACAAAUUUCUCCUAAUAAACUUAUUUCCAUAUGCAAUUUUGACUAAUAUACACAUUUUCACAAGGCUUU